GGCCAAAUGGUCUAGGGGUAUGAUUCCUGCUUUGGGUGCAGGAGGUCCCGGGUUCAAAUCCCGGUUUGGCCC
rnacentral:tRNA from 1 species